UGCGAUGAUGAGCUUAUUAUAAUCUCGUUAAUCUGAUGGUUUGUGAGGAUAAAAUCUAAUCCAUUCCAAUGAUUCUGAGC